UACGGGGGGGGUAAGCGUUGUUCGGAAUUACUGGGCGUAAAGGGCUCGUAGGCGGCCAACUAAGUCAUACGUGAAAUCCCUCAGCUUAACUGGGGAACUGCGUGUGAUACUGGAUGGCUUGGAUUUGGGAGAGGGAUGCGGAAUUCCAGGUGUAGCGGUGGAAUGCGUAGAGAUCCGGAAGAACACCGGUGGCGAAGGCGGCCUGCUGGGACGUGGCUGACGCUGAGGCGCGACAGCGUGGGGAGCAAACAGG
rnacentral:rRNA from 1 species